rnacentral:ncRNA from 1 species
AACAAAACUGCGACGAGAAGAAGUAGAAAUCAUAUGUUUUCAACAGAAAGCUACCGGGUGAUGAGAGGUGCAGAAAACAGAUUUUGAAUACAUCUCUGAGUGGCACACUGAAAAGAUUUUAUAUCUUAGUAGGCUGUUGCCGGGUGCGACCGUUACAUCGCUAAGGUAUAAGCACUUUUGUGCCGUACCCGAUGAGGUUUACACAGUGAUGUGUAAAUAAAAUUGAGGUGGUAACACGUGAGCAAUUCUCCCGUCCUCUGC